rnacentral:misc_RNA from 1 species
CGGAGUUCAGUCUUCCCAGGCCCACCACUUUCAUCGAGUGAGCAUUCGUCUUCUGGUUACGGGGCCAUAGCUCAGCUGGGAGAGCGCGUGCUUUGCAAGCAUGAGGUCGUCGGUUCGAUCCCGUCUGGCUCCACCAGAUGGUUUGAUCACCGAGAUCUUGUACCGUCGUCCGCGAAACAUCACUUCGCAUCCUGCUAGUCUGGAUAGACAGCAAGAUGCGUGUUUUCUGACAUCGUAAAGAGGAGAUCGAUCCGAGUUGGGUCGUGCAGCGGAUUGUUGCGCGAAUCCUUCAUUAUCUCCGGAUCAUUUUCGGCGCUCGCUUUCAGCCGUGAGGUUGAAUGCGAGUUGUAAAAUGAUCCUUUUAGCGAAGCUUGACCGCCUCGCUAUCGGAACGAUCUUACGAAGCAAGCUGGUCUUUCUAGUCAAUGUCCGGCUGUGCGUAGCGUUCAUCGAGGGCGCGUGCCGUAAGGCAAUCGUACAGACAACAUUCUGCCGAGUGUGUGGACAUUGAUAAUGAGAGCAAUCAAGUGCCUUAAGGGUGUUCGGUGGAUGCCUUGGCGCUGAGAGGCGAUGAAGGACGUGCUACGCUGCGAUAAGCCGUGGGGAGCUGCGAAGAAGCUUUGAUCCGCGGAUUUCCGAUGG